CAACAGAGGGAAAGGUUGUAUCUUCUGGAAACAGUGUAACAAACUCAGUCCCAUAGAUGAUAACCUGAAGUCCUGGAUCCUGAGAACAUGAAUAAAACAUGUUCAGAGUGCUGGUGCCGUGACUAGCCUGAACUGGCUACUUAGUCUUGGACUCAUCAGGCUCGUGCAAGAUGGAGCAGAUUCAGGACUGUAUGUAACUUCCAGUUGCUGUGGAGAUACUCAGCUUCAUGUCAGAUGUGAAAUGAGAGAGGGGGCCAGAUUACAGCAUCCUGUGGAAGACACAGCUCACAGAGAAGUGGUGUAUGUCUGAGAUAGAGCCACUCAUGUUUAUUCAAGGAGUUUAGUAACACUAUCUUUGAGGCAGCACCUGAAUUUUACUUCGAAUCCAGCUGUUUAUCAAAGAUAUUUAUUGGUCAUCGGAAUAGAUUCUACUGUCAGCAGAUAUUAAGGCCACGUAUCACUCCUGGAGUAUGAGGGCUGAAGGAGGAAGGUGUGGAGAGAGGGAGAAACGACAUACUGGCAAGUCGAGAAGGAUACAAUUGAAGGAGUGUGAACUUUCUCACAGCUUCAGAGUUGUCCUGUUAUUUACAAAGUAAUCCAAAAAAAAAAAUCCAUCCAAGGCUAAUGUGGAAGUAAGGCAUCAGGGUUUCCAGUCCUACUCAAAUAUCUGAUGAUCCUUAUGAAGAAAGGAUGGAUGGCAAGGGGAAGAGCUGAUACUCUACCUGGGUUGUACCUGAAUCUUGAAGAGUCAACUGAAUGAUAAGAUCAGCACCUUUUUCCAUAACCACUAUGUGCCAUAUCCCAGGAUGGAGCCAGCAGAUGUGAGUCUAGC
rnacentral:lncRNA from 1 species